rnacentral:rRNA from 1 species
UACGGAGGGGGCUAGCGUUGUUCGGAAUUACUGGGCGUAAAGCGCACGUAGGCGGCUUUGUAAGUUAGAGGUGAAAGCCCGGGCUCAACUCCGGAAUUGCCUUAAGACUGCAUCGCUAGAAUUGUGGAGAGGUAAGUGGAAUUCCGAGUGUAGAGGUGAAAUUCGUAGAUAUUCGGAAGAACACCAGUGGCGAAGGCGACUUACUGGACACAUAUUGACGCUGAGGUGCGAAGCGUGGGAGCAAACAGG